GAGUUUGAUCCUGGCUCAGAUUGAACGCUGGUGGCAUGCUUAACACAUGCAAGUCGAACGGUAACGACUGCGACAAUCCCUUCGGGGUGCGUUGCAAGGCGACGAGUGGCGGACGGGUGAGUAACGCGUAGGAAUCUGCCUGUCAGCGGGGGAUAGCCCGGGGAAACUCGGAUUAAUACCGCAUACGCCCUGCGGGAGCAAUCUUGCGGGGGAAAGCUGGGGACCUUCGGGCCUGGCACUGACAGAUGAGCCUGCGUCUGAUUAGCUUGUUGGUGGGGUAAAGGCCUACCAAGGCGACGAUCAGUAGCUGGUCUGAGAGGACGACCAGCCACACUGGAACUGAGACACGGUCCAGACUCCUACGGGAGGCAGCAGUGGGGAAUAUUGGACAAUGGGGGCAACCCUGAUCCAGCAAUGCCACGUGUGUGAAGAAGGCCUGCGGGUUGUAAAGCACUUUCAGUAGGGAAAAAAGUUUCAGUGCGAAUAACACUGAAAUGUGAUGUUAACUACAGAAGAAGCACCGGCUAAUUCCGUGCCAGCAGCCGCGGUAAUACGGGAGGUGCGAGCGUUAAUCGGAAUUACUGGGCGUAAAGCGCGCGUAGGUGGUCAAAUAAGUUGGAUGUGAAAGCCCCGGGCUUAACCUGGGAAUUGCAUUCAAAACUGCUUGACUAGAGUUCAGAAGAGGGAGAUGGAAUUCCGGGUGUAGCGGUGAAAUGCGUAGAUAUCCGGGGGAACACCAGUGGCGAAGGCGGUCUCCUGGUCUGACACUGACACUGAGGUGCGAAAGCAUGGGGAGCAAACUGGAUUAGAUACCCUGGUAGUCCAUGCUGUAAACGAUGUCAACUAGCUGUUUGGGAUUCUCAUUUGCAGAUACUGAGUAGCGCAGCUAACGCGAUAAGUUGACCGCCUGGGAAGUACGGCCGCAAGGUUGAAACUCAAGGGAAUUGACGGGGGCCCGCACAAGCGGUGGAGCAUGUGGUUUAAUUCGAUGCAACGCGAAGAACCUUACCUGCCCUUGACUUCUCCAGAAGAUUGUAGAGAUACGAUUGUGCCUUCGGGAACUGGAUGACAGGUGCUGCAUGGCUGUCGUCAGCUCGUGUCGUGAGAUGUUGGGUUAAGUCCCGCAACGAGCGCAACCCUUAUCCCUUGUUACCAGCGGUUCGGCCGGGGACUCUAGGGAGACUGCCGAGUGAUAAACCGGAGGAAGGUGGGGACGACGUCAAGUCAUCAUGGCCCUUAUGGGCAGGGCUACACACGUGCUACAAUGGGCGGUACAACGGGUCGCGAACCUGCGAAGGGGAGCUAACCCUCUAAAGCCGCUCUCAGUCCGGAUUGGAGUCUGCAACUCGACUCCAUGAAGUCGGAAUCGCCAGUAAUCGCGGAUCAGCAAUGUCGCGGUGAAUACGUUCUCGGGCCUUGUACACACCGCCCGUCACACCAUGGGAGUUGGUUGCACCAGAAGUGGGUAGUCUAACCAUUGGAGGACGCUCACCACGGUGUGAUUAAUGACUGGGGUGAAGUCGUAACAAGGUAACCGUA
rnacentral:rRNA from 1 species